rnacentral:rRNA from 1 species
UACGGGGGGGGCAAGCGUUGUUCGGAAUUACUGGGCGUAAAGGGCUCGUAGGUGGCCAACUAAGUCAGACGUGAAAUCCCUCAGCUUAACUGGGGAACUGCGUCUGAUACUGGAUGGCUUGAGUUUGGGAGAGGGAUGCGGAAUUCCAGGUGUAGCGGUGAAAUGCGUAGAUAUCUGGAGGAACACCGGUGGCGAAGGCGGCCUGCUGGGCAGUGGCUGACGCUGAGGCGCGACAGCGUGGGGAGCAAACAGG